rnacentral:rRNA from 1 species
AGAGCGAACGCUGGCGGCAGGCCUAAUACAUGCAAGUCGAACGGGAUCCUUCGGGAUUAGUGGCGGACGGGUGAGUAACACGUGGGAACGUGCCCUUUGGUUCGGAACAACUCAGGGAAACUUGAGCUAAUACCGAAUGUGCCCUUCGGGGAAAGAUUUAUCGCCAUUGGAGCGGCCCGCGUCUGAUUAGCUAGUUGGUGGGGUAAAGGCCCACCAAGGCGACGAUCAGUAGCUGGUCUGAGAGGAUGAUCAGCCACACUGGGACUGAGACACGGCCCAGACUCCUACGGGAGGCAGCAGUAGGGAAUCUUGCGCAAUGGGCGAAAGCCUGACGCAGCCAUGCCGCGUGAAUGAUGAAGGUCUUAGGAUUGUAAAAAUUCUUUCAGCGGGGACGAUAAUGACGGUACCCGCAGAAGAAGCCCCGGCUAACUUCGCGCCAGCAGCCGC